GAGUCCUGUGUUAAGAAAGCACAUAACUUUUCACAAAAGCAUCAUAAUUUAUCUCUUUUGACAUCACAAGAAGGUUAAUUCAGUCAUUUCUCUUCUAUGUAUCUACUCUAUUCAUAGAAAAAUACCUGGGAGUAGAGAGAGAAAUAGGUGUGGUGGGAGCGUGAGAAGUAACAUACGACUUUUCUAUCAAAGGAAAUCUUGGUUACUUCACUUUGCUCUGGUUUUGGCUGAAAUGCCCUCCUGCGACCCCCUCUUCUUUCCCUCUUCUCCCAGCAACAGUUUGUUUCAAAUUAGCCAACCGGGAAGAAUGCGCGCCUUGACCUGACCAAUGGGAAGGGGACAGGUACAUCGCCUGCAUUAGGGAUAAAUAGGGAGGGUCUUUUCUUCUUUGCACGUGCUUUUUGAGCACCCACGUCCUUCUGCAGAAGUAAAGAGCCUUGUUGAGAUCUGCCCAUGUUCGUGUGUCUCAUUUUCUGACACUGACCAUCCGAGCCGUUCUCCAAGAGGAGGUGUCUUUAAAUGAGGUAGACAUUAGGCAAAGGUAGACCUCACAAACUUAACCACAUCUCCCCUUGUGUUAUCCAUCUAGCACAUUUCCAGAUAUGUCAUUUCUGUUCUGUGUGGUGUGAGCCAGAGAACCCAGUGUUGGGUCAGUGCCUCAUUACCUUCCACUAUUCUAGGGGCAUCUGGCUGUACCGUUCAAGUUCAGGGCCUCUGCCAGGCCCUUUCUCCAAGUCUAUUUCUCUAGAUAACACACUAUGGAAAUGGGGCAGCAGUGCUUUCAAGUGUGUGGAAUACUUAACUGUACAUGAUAAAGUUAAUAUAGCUGUCGUUUCCACACACUUCUUGUUUGUGAUUAUGUUUCAAGUAAGCAUAGUAACAGCAAUCUUAAAAACCCUGUGGCAAAAGUGAAGAGAGUUAGAGCACUUCCCUGAUGUAAUAUUCUGAAAUAACAUUUUUGCAGCUUCCCCUUAUUACUGAGGGCGUGUAUGGUAAUAUAUCAUUUUCGAAAAUUCGAUUGCAUUCUCCAGAAAGGUAACAUGAAAUUUUUUUAUACUAUUUCAAUUAUCUCUUUCAUCCUCACAUUAUAAUUCUGGGGUUAGAUUUCCAUAGGGAGGACCACAGCACUCAAAACAUGUGGAGAAGAAAAAUGUAGGUGACAUAGCUUCCCUUUUUUUGCUUUGGCAAGCACAUCAAGUAUUUUUUCUAACAUCAUUUGAGAUAUAAAAAUGUAUUCAACACACUCAAAAAAUAAAUUCUUAGGCAGUGAUUUCAGAAAGGGUUUAAGCACAUGAGACUUUUCAUGUGAUUUAUUUAUUUUGGAAAUAGUUAUUGAGCCUUACUAUAUGACUGGUAUUCUAAGCAACGUGCACAAAUUCGUAAGUGUCCCUCAUGAGUCUGUAUGAACUGUGCAUAAGGAAACAGGACGUGCAGAAAGACGACACACAAGUAAAAUACAAGAUCGCAGUAGGUGCUAUGAAGACAUUGAAGUGGGUGUGGUGAUAUCCGUUGGCUGGAUGCAGUAGAGUAGGAAGGUUUGAGCAUCUGAGUAGUCAGGGAAGGCGACCCAGGCCUGAGUAGUAGGAAGGUCAGGGAUCGAACCUACAUCCUCAUGGAUGCUGGUCAAAUUUGUUAACCACUGAGUCACGACGGGAACUCCAGGGGUUCCUUCUUUAGGUUUUGGUCUGACCGGGUAUGUGGUAGGAAUGGUUACUGAGAAGGGAUACUCAAGAUGGGGGAGAGAACAAAUUGGAUCGGAAUAAAGGUCCAUGGGAAUGAGGUGUAAGCUACCUGAACACUGUGCUCAGUUGAGAAGAGUUAGUUUUGCUGCGGCUGGUGACAUCCUUUCGUAGAGGUUAUGGAAAGGAAAGGAAUGACGACCUUUCAUUUUCAUAGGCUUCUUCAGGCCAGGGAAAUUCCUGAUGCUCUACUUUGUCCCCAGGGAAGCAUGUGGCACAUUCCCGUAAGACAUAGAAUGAAAUAAAAUGAUCUCAUUGAUUUCCGACUCGAGGCUCUCAUCCUCAUCCACAUGCUUUACUUCCCAUUGUCUGCUUGUCAGCCUGAGCUCUGCCUAAACACCUCUUACCCCUGCCCUUCCUUCUCUGGACCAUUAUAACUCCUGUGUCUGUCCUUCACCAUCUCUUCUCCCCGGAAAAACUGCUUUUUACAUUCAUCAGAUUUCCGGAACCCAUAUCCUUUACGACCUUAAGAGGGUGCUUUGAGGAGUUCCCGUCAUGGCUCAGUGGUGAACCAAUCCAACCAGGAACCAUGCAUGAGGUUGCAGGUUCCAUCCCUAGCCUUGCUCAGUGGGUUAAGGAUCCGGCAUUUCUGUGAGCUGUGGUGUAGGUCACAGACGCAGCUCGGAUCCUGGGUUGCUGUGGCUCUGUCGUAGGCUGGCUGCUACAGGUCUGAUUGGACCCCUAGCCUGGGAACCUCCAUAUGCCGCAGUGAAGGAAUCUGGUUCAUGGAGAAGCUGGUCGCUAUCUUUCCAAAUAAUAGUACCACAGAGGGAAGGAAAUAAAGGUUUCAGCACAAUAAUGAAGUUUUAUUGUCGAAGCACCUGUUAACUAUGUAUUGACUUAAUGGGGCUUCUGAUUUACACUGCUCAGUCCUAAAUAGAACGAAAUGAUUAAAAACAGUACAUUCAUUAGCAGCAGGACUGAUUACUUCUUCUGAGUGAAGACUAAAUUUGCCACCAAGACUGAGAAAUUUGUCUCUUGACAGACUAUUUAAGAGCAGUUAUCUUCCCCGAAUCUACCACCUCCUUUUGUGGUCAUUUUCUUAUUAUUGGGAACUAGAAGAAAUUCGCAAUUCAAUCAUUCUAUGACAUUCCUCUUUGUAAAUGGGACCUUCUCUGUCAUUUCUUGAUCAGUGAAGAAUCAGAGAGUAAAUGACUCAUUCCUGAGUUGUUAAUGCAGAACCUUUUUUAAUUUAAUCAUUUUGAGACAGUCAUGGGUAGUUAUUUAGCUCUGCCAAUUCUUUGUAAGUCAUGAGCCUGCCUAGGCAGGAGAUGUUGAGGAACUUGUUGAAUUAUGCAAAGUUAGGUUCAAAAAGUCAAUCUUGAUUUACAGCUGUUGCAUGAACAAUUCAGUGCAGGCUCAGUGAAGCACAUCAUCUGCAAAUAAUACUGUACUUGUAUAGAAACAGCCGAACAGAAGGAGACUUCAUUGUAUAUGAUUAACGUACAGUGCUUUAUAAAGUGUGAAGCACUCUACUGAUACAAAACAGAAUUUAUAGGCCGCAUUUAUAAGACCAUGGGUGAACCUAUCUCAAGGAUAAUGAGGAGUUCUAGUGAUGUCCAAGAGGAAAGGGGGCCUUACUUUCUCAAAUAGAGGUAAAUAUCUCAGUUAUACUUAAUCUAUACCCUGCUUCACAGGUUUCCACAUUUUGUUGAUUAUGGCAGUGAGAGCAAUUUCACUAGCUAUUAAAUCCUGUGGACAUUAAAUACCAACCAUUGUAAAGUUACAAGGAAUCAAAGAUGUAGUCCUUAGGAAUUCCUCAGAUUUUGUUCUCCUUCCAAAUUGAUUCCCAAUAGACAAAUUGCUUUGCUAAAUCAGAGGACUCUGCAGAGAAGGGAAUGUGUAUACACUUAAGCAUCAUUUUUGUUUCUCCUUUUUCUGGCUUAUCCUUGGCAAGCAGCAUAACUCUGCUUCUGCCCCCAUGUAAGGGGACUCUUCGGCCCUUUCUUUUGGGGACAGAAUUUUAGAGAUCUCAAUAAGGUGUCUGAAAUUACAAAUUAUAAUAUUGAAAGGGAGUAGGAAAUUGCUGCCCAGUGGAAUCAUGGCUCGGUCACAGUGCUCUACUUGAUGCAUAUAUUUUGGAGUGUUAAGUAGAUAGGAGAGACAGAGGCACAUAUUUAAUAGGUUGUUCAGACCACAUGCUCCCCGAGGGUAGGGGCAGGGGAGGGAAACUGAGGCAGAAGCCUGGGGACAUGGAUGUGGUCCAUACAGAGAUGGUUGCAACCAGGUGGCAGGUAGUGGGCAGGCAAGUACAGAAGAGUCAGGCAAGUAACCAGAAGAAUCCCUGUUGUCAGGUGAUUGCCUCUACUCUACAGUUGCUGCCCUGAUUACCUCGAGCUCAGGAACUGAGAGGCUGAGCUGCCUUCAGGUUACUUGGGUUCUGAAGAUGAGAAGCAUAAGGAAGGCAGAUUCAUGACUUGCUACGAGAGAGAUAUAAUGUUACAACCCAGUGUAAUGUCACAAAUUCUCAGUAAAAAUACCAACAAAAGGCAUGUGCUGGGAGUGUUAAUUACGCCAUGAAAAUGCCCUUCUCUUCUUUCUGAGUGUACCUUUUUUUGUUCUGUUUCUAUUUGACUAUCUCCUAUGUGUCGCUGUGAAGACCUUUCUCUCCAUCAUACUUUUUUUUCAUCAUCUUUUUUCUUCUGUUUCAAUGUCUUUCUCUGUGAACUCCUUUUAUUCAUCUUCUUUUUUAAUAAUCUCUUCCUUAAACAGAGACAGUACAAAGCUGAAAUGUAUGGUGUGUGUGCCGACAUGCACUUUAGUUUUGUUUUGUUUUUUUUGAUUAAAGUAUAGUCGAUUUAUAGUGUUCUGUCAGUUUCCACUGUAUAGCAUAGUGACCCAGCUAUACAUAUACAUACAUUCCUUUCCUCAUACUAUCUUCUGUCAUGUUCUAUCCCAAGAGAUUGGAUAUAGUUCCCUGUGCUGUACAGUAGGACCUCAUUGCUUAUCCAUUCUAAAUGUAAUAGUUUGCAUCUGUUAACCCCAAACUCCCUGUCCAUCCCAUUCCCUUCUCCCUCCCCCUACAUUUUAGUUUUUUAUUGUAUUUUGGAUAAUAAAACACAAUAUUAGAAAUUUUAUUUCUUGUUCUUAAAAACAGAAGAGUUAAAUACUCUAUUUCCCUAAUUUUAGAAAAUAUUAAAUUAAAUAUUUGCUUUUGUCUUGG
ensembl:lncRNA